CCUACGGGUGGCAGCAGUGAGGAAUAUUGGUCAAUGGACGCAAGUCUGAACCAGCCAUGCCGCGUGCAGGAAGACGGCUCUAUGAGUUGUAAACUGCUUUUGUACGAGGGUAAACGCAGAUACGCGUAUCUGUCUGAAAGUAUCGUACGAAUAAGGAUCGGCUAACUCCGUACCAGCAGCCGCGGUAAUACGGAGGAUUCAAGCGUUAUCCGGAUUUAUUGGGUUUAAAGGGUGCGAAGGCGGAAGAUCAAGUCAGCGGUAAAAUUGAGGGGCUCAACCCCUGCGAGCCGUUGAAACUGGUUGUCUUGAGUGGUUGAGAGGUAUGCAGAAUGUGAGGUGUAGCGGUGAAAUGCAUAGAUAUCACGCAGAACUCCGAUUGCGAAGGCAGCAUACCGGCGCACAACUGACGCUCAUGCACGAAAGCGUGGGUAUCGAACAGGAUUAGAUACCCGAGUAGUC
rnacentral:rRNA from 1 species